rnacentral:rRNA from 1 species
GACGAACGCUGGCGGCGUGCUUAACACAUGCAAGUCGAACGGAAAGGCCCUGCUUUUGUGGGGUGCUCGAGUGGCGAACGGGUGAGUAACACGUGAGUAACCUGCCCUUGACUUUGGGAUAACUUCAGGAAACUGGGGCUAAUACCGGAUAGGAGCUCCUGCUGCAUGGUGGGGGUUGGAAAGUUUCGGCGGUUGGGGAUGGACUCGCGGCUUAUCAGCUUGUUGGUGGGGUAGUGGCUUACCAAGGCUUUGACGGGUAGCCGGCCUGAGAGGGUGACCGGCCACAUUGGGACUGAGAUACGGCCCAGACUCCUACGGGAGGGAGCAGUGGGGAAUAUUGCACAAUGGGCGGAAGCCUGAUGCAGCAACGCCGCGUGCGGGAUGACGGCCUUCGGGUUGUAAACCGCUUUCGCCUGUGACGAAGCGUGAGUGACGGUAAUGGGUAAAGAAGCACCGGCGAACUACGU